UACGAAGGGGGCUAGCGUUGCUCGGAAUCACUGGGCGUAAAGGGUGCGUAGGCGGGUCUUUAAGUCAGGGGUGAAAUCCUGGAGCUCAACUCCAGAACUGCCUUUGAUACUGAGGAUCUUGAGUUCGGGAGAGGUGAGUGGAACUCCGAGUGUAGAGGUGAAAUUCGUAGAUAUUCGGAAGAACACCAGUGGCGAAGGCGGCUCACUGGCCCGGUACUGACGCUGAUGUGCGAAAGCGUGGGGAGCAAACAGG
rnacentral:rRNA from 1 species